rnacentral:lncRNA from 1 species
UGUACUACAUGCAGAACCCCCUUUCCCAAGACUGAAUGCCAGUGUGAAUAAGAUGGAGAAGAAGGUCCAUCUGGAGAUCUCCUCUGCUGCAGUCACAGAUUCAGCUCUGUACUACUGCGCUCUGGAGCCCACAGUGACAGGAAACACAAGAACACUGCACAAAAAACUCUUUAGUCUUUAUUAUGUAGGAUGUUAAAUAUCCUCAAUGACAAUAAUAUAAUUAAAAUAAUAAUGUCAAUUGUCAAUAAUGUCAAUGUCCUUGAAACUUUCUAAAAGCAUUGGUUUACCUUCACUGUGAUCAUAUGCUUAAAUAAAUAAUAAAUAAAGAUUUUGGUUAAUUUUACUCAAAUUGUAUAAUAUUAUAAUACAGUUUAUUAUAUUAUAGUGCAUUAUAUUAAUUAUAAUAUAAUGUAUUUUUAUGUAUCAUAUUUUUUCUUAUAUUUCAGUUUUUUAUGAAGAAAAGGAAAAGAUUCUUUAAAAAGUAUUUCAAUUUAAAAAAAGUACAUAAAUUUGCAAAGCUUGGCAUUUUCAGAAUAAUUUAAUAGUUUUUUCCCCAUUCUUGUCAUAUCAUUCUUCAGUUAAAUAAACAAUAUUUCAAACUAAAUCUGGUACACUGAUAAGGUGAUAUCUCUGAAUGUUUUAAUUUAUACACUGCAAGCUAUGGGUGGAGCUUUUGGGUGGAUCUCACAAAAAUUCACAUCUGUGUGCAGUUUUCAUUCGCUGUUUGUGGUACAAAGAUGAUGCUUCUGUUCUGUCUGCUUGUGUUUUCAAUAACAGAAUAUACAUUUGCACAGUCAAUAAGACCACAGCAGAAUGACAUUAAUAUCACUGAAAAGCAGCCGGUCAUGCUGUCAUGCAAAUAUGAGGGAAGUGCAAACAGUCUGCAUUGGUAUCGCCAGUAUCCUGGAUCCAAACCUGAAUUUGUGCUGCUUGUCAUUGAGGCAUCCACUAUACAUGUAAAAUAUGCAGAUCCCCGUAUCCCUGGAAUGGAUGGAAAAAUAAGCAUGAAAGAUAAGCAAGUGUAUCUGGAGAUCUCCUCUGCUGAAGUAUCAGACUCUGCUCUGUAUUACUGCGCCCUGGAGCCCACAGUGACAGGAAACACAUCAACACUGUACAAAAACCUACUGAAUCUCCAUUCUUUUGUCAUAGCCUCAUGUUUUCUGCUUGCAGAUUAAUCUAGGUUAUUACAAAUAAAUUCAAAUUUAUUUAUGAAUUAAAAAUAUUUUUAAAAAUAGCUAUAAAGAAUGUAAAUAUAUUGGAUAUUUCAACACUAAUAUGAUCAAAAUAAAUUUGAAAAUGAAUAGGCAUGAAUUUCUGGGCCAGAUUUAAGGAUACAAUUCAUAUGAAUGUUUAAGGGAAAAAUAAAAUCUUAUGUACUGUGAUGGAUCACCAUUUUCUUUUGCCAAUUUAAAUCACCCUUGUUGACCUCACUAGUUUAUUUUAAAUGGAACUGCGGUGUAGCAAAUUAAAUUUAAAAGUACAAAUAUUCAAUGUAUCCCAAUUAAUAUGGUCAUAAACAUGGCAUGCAUUAUAAUGCUAUAUUAAAUAGUUUAUAAUAACAGAGUAUAGCAUGUCUCAUCACUAGAUUUGUCAUAUUCCCAAGUAUUCCAUGUCAACUACCCUUUUUACAACGUUUUUCAUCAUAAAAAAAAAUUAUAAUAAUAAUUUCUAAAGGUUCUGCUGCAGUAACAGAGGACAAAAUUGUGAAUUUGGUGGUUCAGUGAAGUAACCCUAUAACUUUAUAUUUUAUAAACUGGCUGCCCAUAUUUUAAAACCCAAAAAGGCUGACAAAAUAUGCUGUGUUAUUAAUGAUAACCUUGCUCUUUCACAGCUGACUGA